rnacentral:rRNA from 1 species
AACGAACGCUGGCGGCAUGCCUAACACAUGCAAGUCGAACGAGACCUUCGGGUCUAGUUGCGCACGGGUGCGUAACGCGUGGGAACCUGCCCUUAUGUUCGGAAUAACUCCCCGACAGGGGUGCUAAUACCGGAUAAUUUCUUCGGACCAAGGAUUUAUCGCCUUUGGAUGGGCCCGCGUUGGAUUAGCUAGUUGGUAGGGUAAAAGCCGACCAAGGCGACGAUCCAUAGCUGGUCUGAGAGGAUGAGCAGCCACACUGGGACUGAGACACGGCCCAGACUCCUACGGGAGGCAGCAGUGGGGAAUAUUGGACAAUGGGCGAAAGCCUGAUCCAGCAAUGCCGCGUGAGUGAUGAAGGCCUUAGGGUUGUAAAGCUCUUUUAACCGGGAUGAUAAUGACAGUACCGGGAGAAUAAGCUCCGGCUAACUCCGUG